GACGAACGCUGGCGGCGUGCUUAACACAUGCAAGUCGAGCGGUAAGGCCCUUUCGGGGGUACACGAGCGGCGAACGGGUGAGUAACACGUGGGUGACCUGCCCUCAGCUCUGGGAUAAGCCCGGGAAACUGGGUCUAAUACUGGAUAUGACUCCAUGACGCAUGUUGUGGGGUGGAAAGCCUUGUGCGGCUGAGGAUGGGCCCGCGGCCUAUCAGCUUGUUGGUGGGGNGAUGGCCUACCAAGGCGACGACGGGUAGCCGGCCUGAGAGGGCGACCGGCCACACUGGGACUGAGACACGGCCCAGACUCCUACGGGAGGCAGCAGUGGGGAAUCUUGCGCAAUGGGCGAAAGCCUGACGCAGCGACGCCGCGUGGGUGAAGAAGGCCUGCGGGUUGUAAAGCCCUUUCAGUGGGGAAGAAAGCCUCGACCUAAUACGUUGGGGUCUUGACGUAACCCAUAGAAGAAGCACCGGCUAACUCUGUGCCA
rnacentral:rRNA from 1 species